UCGUUGUACUUGAUGCCAUCAGGGAAGGUGCUGGAGUAGACAUAGAGCGGCGACGUCCCGAUGUCGCCGUAGAUGAUGCCGACGCUCUGGAAGGCAAGAUGCAGCGUCCGGGCCCAGCUCCCCUGCGUCACCCACAAGCAGGUUGCAAGAGGCACAUACCUCGGAGCCAUGGUACUUGCCACCAGAGACCUUCUCUGCAUCGCCGAAGAGCGAGUCAUGGCGCUUGAGGCUGAGCCGAUUUGCCGACUCAUCGCCCCCAGGGUUCUCGACCUCGAGCGACAUUUCGGAUCUCCGAACACCUCGGAGGCCUUCUUUAAGAUGCUGGAGUCUGGGGAAUAUCAAGCUCUAAGCCGCGCCAGUUGGUACCUGCAUCCUCCAAUUCCCAAGAUCUAUCUCAGGUGGUGAUGUUGUGAAAAGGAAGCAUCACUUGUUUUACAUUCACAAGAAGAGGCUGGGUGGUCAACCGAGGUAGAAGCUUUAAAGAGGAACAAGAAAAAUAUGCCAGGCUCCUUUGCUGCUAAUGAAAUGAAUUGAUGGAGUAAUUUAAAGAGCUCCCAGAUUCAUUGGUUUGCAGUGUCAGCGACAGGUAAAAACUAGUAAAUCAGUAGCAUAGUUGUAAUCGAAUUGGCACUACUAUAACAGUAUAACGCGUAUAUCAUAGU